rnacentral:lncRNA from 1 species
UUUUUAGGCACUUUAUCAUCACUUUUUUACGCAUCAUUUUACUUCACCAAAGCUCCAUUUUUUUCUGAAAAGUUUUAGAUUCCAAGAAAAACUCAAAAAAAAAAAAAUCAAAACUUCUUUUUUUAUUCUUUACAAGCCAGAGAUAAUGGUUUGAAGUUGGAAGGAUCUUUCUUCGGUACAUUGUUUGGAUUUCUGGGUUUAGUUUUUUUGGUUUUUGAGUCUUAAAAUUUGGUUUAAUUGUGGAAUGAUAUAGCUAUGUUGUUUUUGCUGCUGUAUUGUGCUGUUGUUCCAGUCAGUUUUCAAAAAGCUAUUUGAUUUUACUGUCUAAUUUUUGCUAAUAUAAGAUACACAUUUUAAAAUUUGCCUAAUUUGAUUUCAUUUAGCCUUUUAUGUAAUCUUUUAUCUAGUUGGUUGAAUGAAAAGCUCAUGGUUAUUAAAUGACUCUUUGUAUUUCUAGCCUAUUUGUUCUUUAUGACUAUGAUUUUAUUUAAAAUGUGUUCAGUUAGUACCUCACUGCAUGCCUAAGAAUUUUACUUAGCUGAAAUUCUUAUAUGAAAUGAGUGUUGGAAUAGUUUGAACAUGAAUUCCUAAUUGCUAAAAAGCCUUUUUCUUUUCUUUGUAAUUGUUUUGUUAGUUAAGUCAAAAUUAUACAAACCCAUAGGUUUCUAUAUGUACUAAUGAUUGUAUGGUUACCUCUGCUUUGGUGUAAGUUUGAAGUGUGGACUUGUGAGAAACAGCUCCAUUGUUAAUUUCUUGCAAGUUUGCAUAUUGGAUUAGAGAAUCUGAAGAUAAGAGAAAACCAGAAAUUAGAAUGAAGAUGUUUAUUUCGAUUAUUUUCCAUUAGAAGUUUUCUUUUAGGCAUUAGUUUGAUAAAUAAUUGAAAUAAUAGAUUAUUAAGUUAUUUUUUGUACAUUCAUGACUCUUAGCAGUGUAAAUGGUCUGUUAUGAUUCUUCUAAAUUCAUCUUUUCUUUAGUUUAGUUAGUAUAUGAUCACCAUAUCUGGACCCCUAUUUUUUAUGUUUUUAUAUGAGCAUGUAUUAUGGUUGCAAAUAGGGCUGGACUUGCAACCAGGCCCAAGUUUUGGGUUCAUUCGAGCAAGUCUAACCUAGGCCAUUGGGCCAUGGCAGUUGGACCCAACAGCUUGACCUAGCUAAAAAUAAUUUUCUUUCGCGAAUUACAAAUGUAUAUCUGAUGUCUCUUGCAAAUCAGUGAAGUGAAAUUAAUUUUUUAACUAGCCUUGUAUUUCGAUUUUUAUAAGAAUGAAUUUGUUUUCAGCCUUUUCAACUAAUUUUUAUAUUAUGCGAAAGGUAGAUAGGCCAAAUGCGAAAACAUAGUAACUGGAACCGCUUAAUUUGGAGCCUACUUUGGGCCGUUUGGUUAAGACUCCGUGUGAUGUCUUGGAGUCUUUUGACUUCUGCACUAAUUUGUGAGCGCACUUCUAACCAUUAAAGCUGGUUUAUUCAAUGAACUCUCGCCAACCCAAAAUACUUGCUUUAGGUAACUCAAAAGGGCACGAUUUUAAGCUAAGGAAAUUCUAGUUUAAGCUUCAAUUAGCAUUUUAC